UUCCCCUCUGACACACUGGACCAGAAGGAAAAGUCUGGAAGGUGAAGAUCUGAUCUCUACUGGACUCCCCUGGACAGCUAGCAAGUAGUCUCUUUUAGUUCCACCAUACAAGGUUGAGAGGACAUAUCCACACUGGUGAACAGAGUGAAACUUGAAGAAACCAUCUUUUCCCUGGAACAAUUGAGAACUCAGCUGGUUCCCUGUAACUGAACCACCAAGAACUCUCUGUGUGUGAGAAAUCUGGUUCCCUGUUGGACUUAACCUUAGGAAACAGGGAGCCUGGAGUUCCAGGGAUGACCUUUGAGAGGGACAGACUCCCAGCCCAGAGAGACAACCCUGGCUGGCAGCAUGCUAAGCGUUCUGACAUCUUUGUGUGGUGGCAUUUAUUGUCUGGGUUGGUGGGUUUUAUCAACUUGAUGUCCCUCCUUCAAUAGAGGAAG
rnacentral:lncRNA from 1 species